UACGUAGGGGCCUAGCGUUGUCCGGAAUCAUUGGGCGUAAAGAGCUCGUAGGCGGUUCGGCAAGUCACGUGUGAAAUCUCCACGCUUAACGUGGAGGCGCCACGUGAAACUGCCGUGACUCGAGUCCGGUAGGGGAGUGUGGAAUUCCCGGUGUAGCGGUGAAAUGCGCAGAUAUCGGGAGGAACACCAGUAGCGAAGGCGACUUCCUGGCCUGUUCUUGACGCUGAGGCGCGAAAGCUAGGGGAGCAAACGGG
rnacentral:rRNA from 1 species